UCCGGUUUAACACCGGCAGUCUCUCUAGAGUUCCCGGCAUGACCCGAUGGCAACUAAAGACAGGGGUUUCGCUCGUUAAGGGACUUAACCCGACAUCUCACGACACGAGCUGACGACAGCCAUGCAACACCUUUAUACGUUCCACCGGUUAAGGUGUCACUCUACUUUCAUAGAGCUAAUCCGUACACUUCGAGCCCGGGUAAGGUUCUUCGCGUUGCAUCGAAUUAAGCAACAUGCUCCACCGCUUGUGUGAGCCCCCGUCAAUUCUUUUGAGUUUCAGCCUUGCGACCGUACUCCCCAGGCGGGAUGCUUAUCGCGUUAGCUUCGGCACAGCCGGAUUGGGUACCGGCCACACCAAGCAUCCAUCGUUUAGGGCUAGGACUAC
rnacentral:misc_RNA from 1 species